UGGAGUGUCCCCUCCUCUUCUCUUCUGAGGUCACGCACUCAUAGGAUCUGGCAAACUCUAAUCCGUUUUUCAAGAAUAUCUUCCCUAGAACC
rfam:Rattus norvegicus chromosome X, whole genome shotgun sequence.